rnacentral:lncRNA from 1 species
CAAAAGUUCCCCCAUCCUUUCUCUUCCCCUCCCCUUGUUUGCUGAUACAGUGAAUGCUUUGCCUCAUUCCUUUGAUACUCUUCUCAUCCUGUUUCUCUACAUUAAGGAGUGAACGUUUUAGCUGGUAUGUUGUAGGACUUGGGGUGGCUCUGCCUUCCUCCUGAGCUUAUUUCCUUCGUGUUUUUAGUCUGCUUGUGACUUGGCUGGGUGGCUUGAGGGAGACUACUUUUCUUUGGUCUCUAUUCACUGCCUGGCUGCCUGGUUCUGCCAUUGGGGUUUUUUUGUUUUGCCUUGUUUUGUUUCUUUUUGUAAUGCCCUGGAGCACAGAUGGUUGGGCAGU